AAGACUUUAAGUUAACUAAACUAGACGCCUUCAAAGCAUCCAAUGGUCUGUCACCAAGUCUUG
rnacentral:tRNA from 1 species